UACGAAGGGGGCUAGCGUUGCUCGGAAUUACUGGGCGUAAAGGGUGCGUAGGCGGGUCUUUAAGUCAGAGGUGAAAUCCUGGAGCUCAACUCCAGAACUGCCUUUGAUACUGAGGAUCUUGAGUUCGGGAGAGGUGAGUGGAACUGCGAGUGUAGAGGUGAAAUUCGUAGAUAUUCGCAAGAACACCAGUGGCGAAGGCGGCUCACUGGCCCGAUACUGACGCUGAGGCGCGAAAGCGUGGGGAGCAAACAGG
rnacentral:rRNA from 1 species